UACAGAGGGGGCAAGCGUUAUUCGGAAUUAUUGGCGUAAAGGGCGCGUAGGCGGCUUGGCAAGUGGAUGGUGAAAUCCCUCGGCUUAACCGAGGAACUGCCGUCCAAACUGCUUUGCUUGAGACCGGGAGAGGUGAGUGGAAAUUCCCAGUGUAGCGGUGAAAUGCGUAGAUAUUGGGAGGAACACCAGUGGCGAAGGCGGCUCACUGGACCGGUACUGACGCUGAUGCGCGAAAGCGUGGGGAGCAAACGGGG
rnacentral:rRNA from 1 species